CCUACGGGGGGCAGCAGUAGGGAAUAUUGCUCAAUGGGGGAAACCCUGAAGCAGCAACGCCGCGUGGAGGAUGAAGGUUUUCGGAUCGUAAACUCCUUUUGUUAGAGAAGAUAAUGACGGUAUCUAACGAAUAAGCACCGGCUAACUCCGUGCCAGCAGCCGCGGUAAUACGGAGGGUGCAAGCGUUACUCGGAAUCACUGGGCGUAAAGAGCGCGUAGGCGGGAUAGCAAGUCAGAUGUGAAAUCCUAUGGCUUAACCAUAGAACUGCAUUUGAAACUGUUAUUCUAGAGUAUGGGAGAGGUAGGUGGAAUUCUUGGUGUAGGGGUAAAAUCCGUAGAGAUCAAGAGGAAUACUCAUUGCGAAGGCGACCUACUAGAACAUAACUGACGCUGAUGCGCGAAAGCGUGGGGAGCAAACAGGAUUAGAUACCCCAGUAGUC
rnacentral:rRNA from 1 species